rnacentral:rRNA from 1 species
CCUACGGGUGGCAGCAGUGAGGAAUAUUGGUCAAUGGUCGGGAGACUGAACCAGCCAAGCCGCGUGAGGGAUGAAGGUACAGAGUAUCGUAAACCUCUUUUGUCAGGGAACAAAGGCGGGGACGUGUCCCCGGAUGCGUGUACCUGAAGAAAAAGCAUCGGCUAACUCCGUGCCAGCAGCCGCGGUAAUACGGAGGAUGCGAGCGUUAUCCGGAUUUAUUGGGUUUAAAGGGUGCGCAGGCGGUCUGUUAAGUCAGCGGUCAAAGCCCGGGGCUCAACCCCGGCCCGCCGUUGAAACUGGCAGUCUUGAGUUGGAGAGAAGUAUGCGGAAUGCGCGGUGUAGCGGUGAAAUGCAUAGAGAUCGCGCAGAACUCCGAUUGCGAAGGCAGCAUGCCGGCUCCACACUGACGCUGAGGCACGAAAGCGUGGGUAUCGAACAGGAUUAGAUACCCCUGUAGUC